GGAGGGUGCAAGCGUUGUUCGGAAUUAUUGGGCGUAAAGAGCGUGUAGGCGGUCCGGUAAGUCAGAUGUGAAAGCCCUGGGCUCAACCCAGGAAGUGCAUUUGAAACUACCAGACUUGAGUACGGGAGAGGAGGGGGGAAUUCCCGGUGUAGAGGUGAAAUUCGUAGAUAUCGGGAGGAAUACCAGUGGCGAAGGCGCCCUCUGGACCGAUACUGACGCUGAGACGCGAAAGCGUGGGGAGCAAACAGGAUUAGAUACCCUGGUAGUCCACGCCGUAAACGAUGAGCACUAGGUGUAGCGGGUAUUGACCCCCCUGCUGUGCCCGUAGCUAACGCAUUAAGUGCUCCGCCUGGGGGACUACGGUCGCAAGACUAA
rnacentral:rRNA from 1 species